GCGGAGUGCGUGCAUGGGGGCGAGGUAAGGGGGAGGGGGGAGGGGGUAAGCGGAAGUGCUGGGCGUAAGGGUUGCGAAGGCGGUUUUUUAAGGCAUUGGGUAAGGGUCCGGGCGGAACCGGGGAACUGCAAUGGUGACUGCAAGGCUGGGGUGCGGCAGAGGGGGAUGGAAUUCCGCGUGUAGCAGUGAAAGGCGUAGAUAUGCGGAGGAACACCGAUGGCGAAGGCAAUCCCCUGGGCCUGCACUGACGCUCAUGCACGAAAGCGUGGGGAGCAAACAGGAUUAGAUACCCCAGUAGUC
rnacentral:rRNA from 1 species